ensembl:snoRNA
ACUGGAGGACUCAGGAGGCCGGAUCUGAUAAGGCAAGAUUUUGCUAAUACGUUGCUCCUAGAAAAGGGGUUGGCAAGAGCAGCCCUCACUGGAGACUAUCACAGGGACUGACUGUUCAACCCGACACUC